rnacentral:misc_RNA from 1 species
AAGUCGUAACAAGGUCUCCGUAGGUGAACCUGCGGAGGGAUCAUUAACACGUUUCAUACACGUAUUCCAAACCAACCCGUGAACCACAUGAUAUCACACCCUUUCCAUCUCCUUGCUUUCCAAGGGUCAAACCUGAGAGGCAAGAAGAUCACAAACCCCUUUCACCCCCUUAUAACCACCUGGACUGAUAUCUGUUUUAUUCAUCUUCUCUUCCUAUUCACUGGAGCAAUCCGGCGUUGGGGACUGACUGAUGUAAUAAUCCAAUGUAUAAUCAAAUAUCUAAGCACAACUCUUAGCAACGGAUAUCUUGGUUCUC